AAAGCUUGAAAAAUUCAUGCUCACUCCAGUGCCAUUGCAACGACUCUGAUUCUCUGACGUGCAAUUUCACAAUACGAUGGCAGCGUUUAAAACAACAAUUUUAAUUUUUCUUGCGGUUGCCGUUACGUUCAUAACUCAGCCUGUGGUAGAAUCAGAAGCGGCCCCCUCUUCAUAUCCUGGACAUCCUUAUGGAAAUGACAACCUCCCGAUUCCAAAUGGGCCCUCCUCUUCGCCAAAUGGACAUCCUUAUGGCAAUGACAACCUCCCGACUCCAAAUGGGCCCUCCUCUUCGCCAAAUGGACAUCCUUAUGGCAAUGACAACCUCCCGAUUCCAAAUGGGCCCUCCUCUUCGCCAAAUGGACAUCCUUAUGGCAAUGACAACCUCCCGAUUCCAAAUGGGCCCUCCUCUUCGCCAAAUGGACAUCCUUAUGGCAAUGACAACCUCCCGAUUCCAAAUGGGCCCUCCUCUUCGCCAAAUGGACAUCCUUAUGGCAAUGACAACCUCCCGAUUCCAAAUGGGCCCUCCUCUUCGCCAAAUGGACAUCCUUAUGGCAAUGACAACCUCCCGAUUCCAAAUGGGCCCUCCUCUUCGCCAAAUGGACAUCCUUAUGGCAAUGACAACCUCCCGAUUCCAAAUGGGCCCUCCUCUUCGCCAAAUGGACAUCCUUAUGGCAAUGACAACCUCCCGAUUCCAAAUGGGCCCUCCUCUUCGCCAAAUGGACAUCCUUAUGGCAAUGACAACCUCCCGACUCCAAAUGGGCCCUCCUCUUCGCCAAAUGGACAUCCUUAUGGGAAUGACAACCUCCCGAUUCCAAACGGGCCCACCUCUUCGCCAAGUGGACAUCCUUAUGGCCAUGACAUCCUCCGUAUUCCUAGUCUGUUCAAAUAGACAUUGGUGCGCUUCAUCCGGUAUUGUCCUAACAAAACGUGCACAAGCCGGAAUAAUUAGGCCAUCUACCGGCUGCCCUUCUGACUGUCAAUCUAAGCAAUGGAAGAAAAAGCGCAGAUGGACCAGGACACUGCAACGGCAUGAAGUGACAUUACUUCAUAUUUGUCCUCUAUUCAAAACGGGAAUAAAGGAACUAGGGAAUACGUGCA